rnacentral:rRNA from 1 species
GAUCCUGGCUCAGGACGAACGCUGGCGGCGUGCCUAAUACAUGCAAGUCGAACGAACCGCGACUAGGUGCUUGCACUUGGUCAAGGUGAGUGGCGAACGGGUGAGUAACACGUGGGUAACCUACCUCAUAGUGGGGGAUAACAGUCGGAAACGACUGCUAAUACCGCAUAGGACAUGGGAUCACAUGAUUCUGUGGGGAAAGGUGGCGCAAGCUAUCGCUAAGAGAUGGACCCGCGGUG